ACAACGACUCUCGGCAACGGAUAUCUCGGCUCUCGCAUCGAUGAAGAACGUAGCGAAAUGCGAUACUUGGUGUGAAUUGCARAAUCCCGUGAACCAUCGAGUCUUUGAACGCAWGUUGCGCCCGAAGCCAUUASGCCGAGGGCACGUCUGGCUGGGUGUCACAC
rnacentral:rRNA from 1 species